CAAUCGGUAAAAAAAAUGUUCACAAGUUAAAAGAAUUGAACAGAAAGUGCCUGUUUUUACAAGUAGAUGUGGUAUGAGUGCCAAUGAGACAACUCGCCAUCCAUGCCACAAUUCGUAACAGUAAACCAUUAUAGGUCAAAGUACGGCCUUCAACACGGAACCUCGGCUCAUAACGAACAGCAAGCUAUACAGGACCCCAAAAAAUGACCAGUGUAAUACCAUUCAAACCGAAAAACCAACGAUAUAAUCUAUUUAAAAAAUGAGAAACGAGAAACACUUAUGAACCACAUCAACGAACGACAACC
rnacentral:lncRNA from 1 species